rnacentral:rRNA from 1 species
AACGAACGCUGGCGGCAGGCCUAAUACAUGCAAGUCGAACGCCUGUAGCAAUACAGGAGUGGCAGACGGGUGAGUAACGCAUGGGAAUCUACCCAGUGGUACGGAAUAAACCAGGGAAGCAGAGGCUAAUACCGUAUGAACCCUAAGGGGGAAAGAUUUAUCGCCAUUGGAUGAGCCCGCGUCGGAUUAACUUGUUGGUGGGGUAAUGGCCUACCAAGGCGACGAUCCGUAGCUGGUCUGAGAGGAUGAUCAGCCACACUGGGACUGAGACACGGCCCAGACUCCUACGGGAGGCAGCAGUGGGGAAUAUUGGACAAUGGGCGCAAGCCUGAUCCAGCCAUGCCGCGUGAGUGAUGAAGGCCUUAGGGUUGUAAAGCUCUUUCACCGAUGAAGAUAAUGACGGUAGUCGGAGAAGAAGCCCCGGCUAACUUCGUGCCAGCAGCCGCCGUAAAAC